rnacentral:rRNA from 1 species
UAGGGAAUAUUGCAAAAUGGGCGAAAGCCCGAUGCAGCGACGCCGCGUGGGCGAUGAAGGCCUUCGGGUCGUAAAGCCCUUUUUGAGGGGAUGAGGAAGGACAGUACCCUCAGAAUAAGCCUCGGCUAACUACGUGCCAGCAGCCGCGGUAAAACGUAGGAGGCGAGCGUUAUCCGGAUUUACUGGGCGUAAAGCGCGUGCAGGCGGAUUGGAGAGUUGGAUGUGAAAGCUCCCGGCUUAACUGGGAGAGGUCGUUCAAUACUUCCAGUCUUGAGUGCAGUAGGGGGAAGUGGAAUUCCGGGUGUAGUGGUGAAAUGCGUAGAUAUCCGGAGGAACACCAGUGGCGAAAGCGGCUUCCUGGACUGUAACUGACGCUCAGACGCGAAAGCUAGGGUAGCAAACG